GUUUUUCCGCCCAUCGCCACGAUAGCGGCUCCACGGCGGGCGCGGAGUUGGGAGCGGCGCUCGAGCAGCGGCUCGGUGCCCUGGCCAUCCACACUGAGGUCGUGGAGCACCCCGAGGUCUGGCCAUCUUCUAAAGAGUUUGAACCUACUGAAGAACUAUCUUGACUGUCUUGAUGAGGGAGCUGAAGAAAUCCUUCACUGGAGUCUGAGCGGAAGUGGAAUCUAUUUUCCUUCUUCUUGAAUUUGGAAUGCUUUUGGCCAAGAGAAAGAGGUGGAAGUGAUGGUGUAACAGUUCCAAGUCUAGGCCUCAAGUUGCCUGUGGACUUCCACUCAGACUCUCAGAGCCCUGCUGGAGGAUGGAGAGACCACAUGGAACAGAGAAGGGUUAUCCCACCGAGGCCACCAUAGACCAGCCAGCCCUCAGCGUACAUGCCAGCUAAUUACAGAUGCAGGAGCAAACCCCUGGCCCAUACAUCAAUGAGGAAAUUAACUGAGAAAGAAGAUACAAGACCUGCCAAAUUCUUUUUUUUUGUUUUGUUUGAGACAGAGUCUCACUCUGUCGCCCAGGCUGUAGUGGCGCGAUCUCGACUCACUGCAACCUCCACCUCCUCGGUUCAAGCGAUUCUCCUGCCUCAGCCUCCUGAGUAGCUGGGCUUACAGGCAUGCGCCACCAUGCCCAGCUAAUUUUUGUAUUUUUAAUAGAGACGGGGUUUUGCCACACUGGCCAGGCUAGUCUCGAACCCCUGACCUCAGGUGAUCUACCCACCUUGGCCUCCCAAAGUGCUGGGAUUACAGAAGUGAGCCACUGUGCCCAGCCUGACCUGUCAAAUUCCUGUCAAACUCAACUUCAUGUAACACUGAACUGUAACUAUCAAGUUAGAAUAUUUUUUUCAUUUGUUUGCAUAUAUAUAGACUUCAUUAAUCUUAAUUUAGUGAUCUCAGUUAAGAAGCAAUCUGAAAUAUGUUUUGCUUUCACUUUUGGAAAAAAGUCUGAAAUAGAAGUAAAUAUUUUGACUACAAGGGAAGGACUUCAAAGGUCUGCUCUAUAUAUGAUGCUAAGAAAAGGAAUAAAAGAAGAACCCCAGAGUUCAAUAAAAUUAGUAAUAUCCAUAGAUCCCUUUUGUAAAAGUCUAACUAAAAGCAAUAUGCUAAUCUAUCAUAAAAUAAACA
rnacentral:lncRNA from 1 species